ACGCAUCAUGCGGGAGAGAGCGGGCGCCCCAGGGCGAGCCGCCGCCGAAGGCGCAAUUCGCCCGGAAUCGCUCAGGCAACCCAUACCGCAGCAUGCCU
rfam:Bordetella flabilis strain AT10664, complete genome.